CCCUACGGGGGGCAGCAGUGGGGAAUAUUGCACAAUGGGGGAAACCCUGAUGCAGCAACGCCGCGUGAAGGAAGACGGUUUUCGGAUUGUAAACUUCUGUUCUUAGUGAAGAAGAAUGACGGUAGCUAAGGAGCAAGCCACGGCUAACUACGUGCCAGCAGCCGCGGUAAUACGGAGGAUGCGAGCGUUAUCCGGAUUUAUUGGGUUUAAAGGGUGCGUAGGCGGGCUGUUAAGUCAGCGGUCAAAUGUCGGGGCUCAACCCCGGCCGGCCGUUGAAACUGGUUUUCUAGAGUUGGAGAGAAGUA
rnacentral:rRNA from 1 species